rnacentral:rRNA from 1 species
GGAUCCAGACUUUGAUCCUGGCUCAGGGAUGAACGCUGGCGGCGCAUUUAAGACAUGCAAGUCGAACGAAAAUUUACGCUUAAAGAGUUGAUUAGUUUACUAAGAGAUGAUUUAUUGUAAAUUUUAGUGGCGGACUGGUGAGUAAUACAUAGGUAAUCUGCCUUUUAGAGGGGAAUAACUAGGAGAAAUCCUAGCUAAUACCGCGUAAGACCACACUUAGGCAUCUAAGAGAGGUCAAAGGAGUAAUCCGCUAAAAGAUGAGCCUGUGGCUGAUUAGUUAGUUGGUGGGGUAAGAGCCUACCAAGACGAUGAUCAGUAGCCGAGCUGAGAGGCUGGCCGGCCACAUUGGGACUGAGAUACGGCCCAGACUCCUACGGGAGGCAGCAGUUGGGAAUAUUGGACAAUGGAGAAAACUCUGAUCCAGUGACGCCGCGUGAAGGAAGAAGGUCUUCGGAUUGUAAACUUAUUUUAUCAGGGAAGAAGAAAGUGACAGUACCUGAAGAAAAAGGACCGGCAAACUACGUGCCAGCAGCCGCGGUAAUACGUAGGGUCCAAGCGUUAUCCGGACUUACUGGGUGUAAAGGGCGAGUAGACGGCGCUGUAAGUCAGCUGUGAAAACUUAGGGCUCAACCUUAAGCCUGCAGCUGAAACUGUAGUGCUAGAGUGCAGGAGAGGUAAGCGGAAUUCCUAGUGUAGCGGUGAAAUGCGUAGAUAUUAGGAGGAACACCAGUGGCGAAGGCGGCUUACUGGACUGUAACUGACGUUGAGGCGCGAAAGUGUGGGGAGCAAACAGGAUUAGAUACCCUGGUAGUCCACACCGUAAACGAUGGAUACUAGGUGUAGGCGAGAUAUCGUCUGUGCCGGCGCAAACGCAAUAAGUAUCCCACCUGGGGAGUACGGCCGCAAGGUUGCAACUCAAAUGAAUUGACGG